CGUAAAUGUAAAUUAUGAAUAUUUAUAAUACUGUAUUUCAGUUUCAGAAAGACAGAAAAAUAACUAAAUAUAUAUUCAAUAGACUCAAGCUGAGACGUGAGAUCCUGGAGGUCUCGUCUGAAGACGAGGAAGAUGGAUGCGGACGAGGUGAAGAUAAGUGGUCUGUUCAAGAGCAUCUACCUUUAUGCACUUAAGCUCUGAGCUCCAGAGUUUGUGCUCUCAAUGAACACAUGGAUCAAUAGCACUGCGGAAACGGAGAGAGGAAGAAGAGGGGCGGAACGAGGGAAAACUCGCCCGGAGAAAAGUGAAAAAGCUUAAUCUUAAUAUGCAGAGACAGCCGUGUAUUAAACCAGGAUACGAGGGCAUUGCAUCCUGCCAGUCAUCUCUGGUGUUGCACAGAAGAAACUCACACAGGUUUCUAACAAUAGUCUGGAGCUUCGCCAACAUGCAGUGAUCCAGAGAACGGGCGAUGCGUCCCAGCAGACCGCAGUUCUGACAACACCCUCCUAUCCCCACUGAAAUCUUUAUUUACUGCCCCCACACCUCUCCCUCGCUAGGGCAAUUAAACCACCGCUGUGUCAGACUGUGAGGUUGUGCACCUUUCUCCUCCGUCGUGCAUACGAGGAUACACUUCAUUUGUUUAUUUGUCGUUCUUGCCCUGCUUCAUUUCGCCAACUGUUACACACUGCAUUAGCCACUAUGAGGGUUAUCUUCAAAUGUUAUAUUUAAUUAUUUCACAAUAAUAUUGUUAAGUAGAUCAUAAUUAGAGUUUCUAAUAAAAAAUAAAAGCAAAUCCUGUGAAAAACUGCAGUCGGCAAAGAAAUAGCUCAGUUGGUAGAGGUCAUGGGUGGGGUCGAUCCCAAAGGAGCCCAUGCUGAUCAAAUUUACCUCGCAAUGCACUGUAAACAAUUUUACGUAAAAGCAUCUUCGAAAGGUAAAAAUGCACAAAAAUGAAUCCUGCACACUUUGAUCUUGAAAAUAAAAAUUGCUAGUGAUGUU